AAGAAUACGAAGCCGUGAAUACACAUGUGGCUAUCAGGAGAGGUUAUUUCAGAGCAGCUUUCUCUAUCCUGGGGGACUCAUGCAUGAGAGGCCAAGGUGUGGAAGGGUCAAGGACAAGGCGGCUGUGAAAAAAUGCCAGACAAGUGUGACGCUGAGAAGCAGCAAAGCUUCUUGGGUAACAGAAGGGGACGGACGGAUGGAGGGAUGGAUCACAGAGGGGUUAAGAUGGGACAUGGAGAAGGAAUCUGAAACAGUGACCUUGCUGUCGAACAGUGAAGGAAAUGGGGUACAUCUUGUCACGCGGUGAGGAGGCCAUUGGAAGUCUACUUUGUUGGCUUUUGAAAGGGCCACGAUGGGUGCGGAGAUAAGCACAACACAGUGGGAGGAGAGGAGUCCUUACCUCGGGAAAAUGAAAAGGCCCGUCUGAUGGAAAUGUGAUGGCGAGAGCGCUAAGGACACCACACAAAUUAUUUUUUAUCAGAGAUCAGCUUCACAGAGGGUGCAGGUGGGGAGGUACCCCAUAGAACUCCUCCCCGAUUGACAGUCACGGAAUUGUUCUUUUCUCUAGCCUAUGUAAACAACUAACAGAAAAUGUACUGUUUGUGUUGCUUUUUACUAAACUCAUAACCUCUGAUAUAGUUUGCAAUGCACUCUUUACUCUUGGGUUAUAAACUAUAUAACGUGUAAAUAAAAUUGAUUACUAUUAUUGUUGUUGUUGUUACUGUUGCUUUAUAUUAAUUAUAUUCAUUUGUUUGCAUAUUCAUUGUCACUUUUGGUGCUAUCAGGAUAACUCGGUGACAAACAAAGACAACAAACUGGGAAAAACAAAUUACUCCCCCUCACUACCCUGUAGAAGUACCUCAACUUUCUGAAGAGAGUUCACCAAAAAGAAAAAAAAAACA